GUGCUUACUACGGUAGCAUAUAUACUAAAACUGAAACAAUGCAAAGAAGAUUUGCAUGGCCCUUGCACAAAGAUGACAAAAAUUCAGAAAGUGUUCUAUAUUUAA
rnacentral:snRNA from 1 species